rnacentral:sRNA from 1 species
AUGGCUUUAGAGCGCCAUCCUUUUGGGAGAAGGUGGAAUAAAGAAAUUAUAAGACUGUGUUUGACACUGUGGUGCCGAAGCCCGAAAGGUUAUAUUGAGCUAAGGAAUAGCAAUUUUUUAAUUUUACCAUCCUACAAUCUUUUGCAACGAUAUAAAAAUUCUGUUGAACAAAAAAGUGGAAUAAACAAAGAAAUCCUGCAUUGGAUGGCAAAUGAGGCUAAAAUCAAAAAUAUUCCACCAGAGGGCUACAAGGGAGGUCUCAUGGUAGAUGAGAUGUCCAUUCAACCAUAUUUACAAUUUAGAAAAAAAAAUGGUGAUAUUGAACUCAUAGGUUUUACCGAGUGUACACCAGAUUCAAUUGUGUUUGAAAACAUGAAAACUGGGAAAAGUGACAGGACUCUUGCGACUCAUGUGUUACAUCUAGUGUUUUUAGGUUUUACUGGCUUUCGAUUUCCGUUUGCUCAUUUCCCUACCACCACAGCAACUGGUUAUGAGCUCUAUUUAUUACUUUGGAAAUCUGUUCAAAUGUUGUCAAUGUUUGGUUUUUGUAUUGAGUAUGUAAGCACAGAUGGGGCUCAAAGUAACAGAGACAUGAUGAAACUUCUGCUACCUGGAUUUGAUUUUGCUAACCCUAUCACAUGUUCUUUUCAAAAUGUAUACAAUGUAACUUGUCAGAAACUGUUUUUUAUCAUGGACUUUUCCCAUGUUAUAAAAAAAAUCAGAAAUAAUGUCUCUAAAAGUGGAACUGCAGCAUUUUGCAAAAAACAUUUGAAAGUUAAUGACAAGUUCAUUGAAUGGAACCAUUUUAAGGACGCCUACCUCUGGGAUCUUCAAAAUCCAUUUCCAAUCUACAGGAAGCUCACACAGGAACACAUUUUUCUGACAUCUGAAAGUAAAAUGAGAAAUCAUUUGGCGGAGGACAUCUUAAAUAAAGAUAUGUUACAUUUAAUGCAAGUAUACAAAGAAAGCCAAAAGAAAAAUGAUACACUGAAUGCAACUAUCGAACUUAUCAAACAUACCAGCAUCAUAAUCAGUAAUUUCCGUGAUCCAAGGCCAAUAAUUGAUGCCGAUGAUCAUCGGUUAGCCAAAAAUCAAGAGGUAUUAGAUUGGUUUAUUCAUUGGGAAAAGAGUGUUAUAAAUGACCAUACAAUAACAAACAAGCAAAAACAUCUAAUUUUUUAUCAAACUAGACAGGACAUUGUAUCCUGUAUCAUGGGAUUUGAUGAAUUGUGCAAGUAUAAACUUAAGAAUUCACAUGCGUCUAUAAUUGCGAGUAGAGUAAAUAGUGAUGUUGUGGAAAAUAUGUUUUGUCAACAGGACGUUACACAAUGGGGCAAAAACCAACCCCACAUUAUUGUGUACUGUAAUACCGUAAACUCUGUUAUUUUGAGACAACAUGCUAUUUCAAAAAAAUCUAAUGCAGGAGGUGUAGAAGAAUCAUGUAACAUGUCUCUACAGUUAAAGAAAAAGGUAUAUUAA